GACGUAGGUGGCGAGCGUUGUUCGGAAUCACUGGGCAUAAAGCGCACGUAGGCGGCCAAGUCAGUCAGGUGUGAAAUCCCUCGGCUCAACCGAGGAACUGCGCCUGAUACUGCUUGGCUUGAGGUCCGGAGGGGAGAGUGGAAUUCCCGGUGGAGCGGUGAAAUGCGUAGAGAUCGGGAAGAACGCCGGCGGCGAAAGCGACUCUCUGGUCGGAAUCUGACGCUGAGGUGCGAAAGCUAGGGGAGCAAACGGG
rnacentral:rRNA from 1 species